UCUAUAGGGUGGGUAUCUCUCAAUGGGAAGCUCUCAGGUUUCCUCCUGGAGUCUAUAGGGUGGGUAUCUCUCAAUGGGAAGCUCUCAUGUUUCCUCCUGGAGUCUAUAGGGUGGGUAUCUCUCAAUGGGAAGCUCUCAGGUUUCCUCCUGGAGUCUAUAGGGUGGGUAUCUCUCAAUGGGAAGCUCUCAGGUUUCCUCCUGGAGUCUAUAGGGUGGGUAUCUCUCAAUGGGAAGCUCUCAGGUUUCCUCCUGGAGUCUAUAGGGUGGGUAUCUCUAAAUGGGAAGCUCUUAGGUUUCCUCCUGGGGUCUAUAGGGUGGUUAUCUCUCAAUGGGAAGCUCUCAGGUUUCCUCCUGGAGUCUAUAGGGUGGGUAUCUCUCAAUGGGAAGCUCUCAGGUUUCCUCCUGGAGUCUAUAGGGUGGGUAUCUCUCAAUGGGAAGCUCUCAGGUUUCCUCCUGGAGUCUACAGAGUGGGUAUCGCUCCCUAAAACAGGUCAUUAACACCCUGCUAUAUGGCUUUGUGGUGGG
rnacentral:lncRNA from 1 species